rnacentral:rRNA from 1 species
AGUGAACGCUGGCGGCAGGCCUAAUACAUGCAAGUUGAACGGCAGCACAGUGGAGCUUGCUCCAUGGGUGGCGAGUGGCGGACGGGUGAGGAAUACAUGGGAAUCUGCCCAGUCGUGGGGGAUAACGUAGGGAAACUUACGCUAAUACCGCAUGCGCCCUUCGGGGGAAAGCCGGGGACCUUCGGGCCUGGCGCGAUUGGAUGAGCCCAUGUUCGAUUAGCUAGUUGGCGGGGUAAAGGCCCACCAAGGCGACGAUCGAUAGCUGGUCUGAGAGGAUGAUCAGCCACACUGGGACUGAGACACGGCCCAGACUCCUACGGGAGGUAGCAGUAGGGAAUAUUGGACAAUGGGCGCAAGCCUGAUCCAGCCAUGCCGCGUGAGUGAAGAAGGCCCUCGGGUUGUAAAGCUCUUUUGUCCGGGAAGAAAAGCAUCGGGCUAAUACCUCGGUGUUCUGACGGUACCGGAAGAAUAAGCACCGGCUAACUUCGUG